AGCCGCGAGUCCCACAGAAAAAUGUCAUGUUGCUUUGGGGGCCUAAACCUCUAGCGACACUGCCGUGUUCCCAUGCCCAGAUAUUCAUUCGCUUGAAACUAGCUAAAACUACAAUUAAACAACAACUCCACUUUUUCUUUCCCACUCUUACGUUACCGCUUCAUUCGUACAAAACGUUUUGAAUCAAAAUUCAAGUACAAUUCAAGGAUUUCAAAAAUGCCAAAGGUCGAAAUUCAAGGAGGGGGAAACAUACCUUAUUCGUACACAUACAGUGAAAAAUAGUGAAAUCUCCUUAGCUUCAAUUUCUUGCAGCUAAGCAGCUGCCGAGUUGGACACAUGCUUCAAGCUCUUCAGGUCACUUUUCUAAGUUGACUUUGCCAUUGCCCACCUCAUGUCUCCCUC
rnacentral:lncRNA from 1 species